rnacentral:rRNA from 1 species
UAGCGUAUAUUAAAGUUGUUGCAGUUAAAAAGCUCGUAGUUGGAUUUCUGGCAGAGGAACUAGGCCCGCAUGAUGCGGUUGCCGAGGUUCUCUACCAUCCUUCUGUUAACCCUCCUAGUUAUUUAUUUAACUGUUGGGAGCCCAGAUAUUUUACCUUGAGAAAAUUAGAGUGUUUCAGGCAGGCUAGCGCCCGGAUACAUUAGCAUGGAAUAAUAGAAUAGGACUUUUACCUCUUCUGUUGGUCUGAGGGGAUAAAGUAAUGAUUAAUAGGGAUAGUUGGGGGCAUUAGUACUUAACUGUC